GGAGGGGUGCCCGAGUGGUUAUAGGGAGCAGACUGUAAAUCUGCCGGCGCCCGCCUACGGAGGUUCGAAUCCUCCCCCCUCCACCA
rnacentral:tRNA from 1 species